CAUUUUUCGCUUGCCAGGGUUGUUUCUACGUGCAGUUACGUUAAUAUAAAUGCAGGAUUCCACUGCUAUAUAAAUGGCAGUUGCAGGUAUAGGCUACAGACCGCAAGUUUUUAACUGGGUCAUUUUCAGGCCUCCAAAAAUGGGUAAACAGCGACACCAAACUAAAAUAUACGGUGAUACAACCAGGGCCUGGAACAUCCCCAUUAAACUGUAUGAUUUAGGCGCCCUCUAUUGGUGAAUAACCGGACGUACAGACAGUGACGAACAACAACGCAGGCAUUUCUUCGCUGGCUGUGGCCUAGAUUCAGGGAAGACUCGCUUGUUUUUCGCUUAAAACGGUUGCUUUGGUAGACUGCUGUUAAUAUUUUCCUAAGGGCUUGGACAGGAUGUCGGUGUUUGAGGAAUCCAGUUUGAUGUUCGUUAAGUAUUUUUGGUAAUAUUUUUUGUAAUCUGUCGGCCAUUAUUUUCAAUAUUAUUUUAAUGUCUUGAUUUAGGAGUGAUAUGGGCCUAUAUGAACUUGGUUCUGUUGUGUCUCUGCCUUCUUUGGGGAUUAGUAUUAUCCUGGCAACAUUGGCUUCAUGCCAUAGUGGGUGUCCUUGUUAGAUUUUGUUGUACAGUGUUUCUAAGGUUGGGGUUAUGUCUGAUGCUAAUUGUUUGUAGAAUUCUGUGGGAGACCGUCAGGUCCUGGGGAUUUCACGUUUUUUAAUUUUUUGAUUGUUCCUAAUAUUUCUGCUUCUGUUGCGUCUAAAAUGUCUCGAUCUUGUACCGUGAGUUUUUUAAAGGCCUGCUUCCUGCAAGAAUUGUAAACCUUCCUGUGGAUCAUCUUCUAUCGUCUGAUAAAGUUUUUUAAAAUGAUGAGUAAUUAUGUUUGUGAUUUGGUUUGGGUCCUGUGUCCAUCCUUCUGGUGUUCUAAGUUUUUGUAUAAAUGUACUCCUAGUUUGUCUUUUCGCAAGAAGUGCUAAGAGUUUCCAUGAAAUUUGUGUGUUGUGUGGCUUAAUGAUUGAUAUGCUUUUUCUGUUAAUAAAGCGUCAAAAAGAGA